rnacentral:rRNA from 1 species
GAGUUUGAUCUUGGCUCAGAUUGAACGCUGGCGGCAGGCCUAACACAUGCAAGUCGAGCGGAUGACGGGAGCUUGCUCCUUGAUUCAGCGGCGGACGGGUGAGUAAUGCCUAGGAAUCUGCCUGGUAGUGGGGGACAACGUUUCGAAAGGAACGCUAGUACCGCAUACGUCCUACGGGAGAAAGCAGGGGACCUUCGGGCCUUGCGCUAUCAGAUGAGCCUAGGUCGGAUUAGCUAGUUGGUGGGGUAAUGGCUCACCAAGGCGACGAUCCGUAACUAGUCUGAGAGGAUGAUCAGUCACACUGGAACUGAGACACGGUCCAGACUCCUACGGGAGGCAGCAGUGGGGAAUAUUGGACAAUGGGCGAAAGCCUGAUCCAGCCAUGCCGCGUGUGUGAAGAAGGUCUUCGGAUUGUAAAGCACUUUAAGUUGGGAGGAAGGGCAGUAAGUUAAUAACCUUGCUGUUUUGACGUUACCGACAGAAUAAGCACCGGCUAACUCUGUGCCAGCCGCGA